rnacentral:rRNA from 2 species
GGUCUUUUCUUGCACAGGCUGCAGUCAGGGUAUGGGAGCUUGCUCCCUGAGAUUAGCGGCGGACGGGUGAGUAACACGUGGGCAACCUGCCUAUAAGACUGGGAUAACUUCGGGAAACCGGAGCUAAUACCGGAUACGUUCUUUUCUCGCAUGAGAGAAGAUGGAAAGACGGUUUACGCUGUCACUUAUAGAUGGGCCCGCGGCGCAUUAGCUAGUUGGUGAGGUAAUGGCUCACCAAGGCGACGAUGCGUAGCCGACCUGAGAGGGUGAUCGGCCACACUGGGACUGAGACACGGCCCAGACUCCUACGGGAGGCAGCAGUAGGGAAUCUUCCGCAAUGGACGAAAGUCUGACGGAGCAACGCCGCGUGAACGAAGAAGGCCUUCGGGUCGUAAAGUUCUGUUGUUAGGGAAGAACAAGUACCAGAGUAACUGCUGGUACCUUGACGGUACCUAACCAGAAAGCCACGGCUAACUACGUGCCAGCAGCCGCGGUAAUACGUAGGUGGCAAGCGUUGUCCGGAAUUAUUGGGCGUAAAGCGCGCGCAGGUGGUUCCUUAAGUCUGAUGUGAAAGCCCACGGCUCAACCGUGGAGGGUCAUUGGAAACUGGGGAACUUGAGUGCAGAAGAGGAAAGUGGAAUUCCAAGUGUAGCGGUGAAAUGCGUAGAGAUUUGGAGGAACACCAGUGGCGAAGGCGACUUUCUGGUCUGUAACUGACACUGAGGCGCGAAAGCGUGGGGAGCAAACAGGAUUAGAUACCCUGGUAGUCCACGCCGUAAACGAUGAGUGCUAAGUGUUAGAGGGUUUCCGCCCUUUAGUGCUGCAGCUAACGCAUUAAGCACUCCGCCUGGGGAGUACGGCCGCAAGGCUGAAACUCAAAGGAAUUGACGGGGGGCCCGCACAAGCGGUGGAGCAUGUGGGUUUAAUUCGAAGCACGCGAAGAAACCUUACCAGGUCUUGACAUCCUCUGACACCCUUAGAGAUAGGGCCUUCCCCUUUCGGGGGGAACAGAGUGACCAGGUGGUGCAUGAUGUCGUCAGCUCGUGUCGUGAGAUGUUUGGUUAGUCCCGCACCGAGCGCACCUGAUCUUAGUGCCAGCAUUCAGUUGGGGAACUCUAGGGUGACUGCCGGUGGACCA